UGACUGAUAGCUGUAACGAAGUGCUGCGCGCACGGGCUGAAACUAUCA
rfam:Firmicutes bacterium CAG:129 genomic scaffold, scf109